rnacentral:lncRNA from 1 species
CAGUGCAGGGUGAGCAGCACUCAGUGCAGGGUGAGCAGCACUCAGUGCAGGGUGAGCAGCACUCAGUGCAGGGUGAGCAGCACUCAGUGCAGGGUGAGCAGCACUCAGUGCAGGGUGAGCAGCACUCAGUGCAGGGUGAGCAGCACUCAGUGCAGGGUGAGCAGCACUCAGUGCAGGGUGAGCAGCACUCAGUGCAGGGUGAGCAGCACUCAGUGCAGGGUGAGCCGCACUCACUGCAGGGUGAACAGCACUCGCUGCAGGGUGAGCAGCACUCAGUGCAAGGUGAGCAGCACUCACUGCAGGGUGAGCAGCACUCGCUGCAGGGUGAGCAGCACUCAGUGCAGGGUGAGCAGCACUCACUGCAGGGUGAGGUCCCAGCACAGACCCAUCAGCACUGUGUGCAGCACGGCCGGGUGCAGUGUCUGGAUUAGAUCCCACCUUGGUCUCUGGCAGGUUGUCACGUGCUGAGCUCUGCCUCAGCAAUCCCUGCUCCCCCACACCUGACAGGGCUGAGCCGGCCUGAGGCGCCCAGCCCAGCCCACAGCAGCACAUCUCAGCUCAGAUGCCGUCUCUGGAGCUGGCUCUGGCCAUGGCGCAGCGCUGUGCCUGCAGGUGCUGCUGCGGGGGCUGCUGGAAGC